GAUCCUGGCUCAGAUUGAACGCUGGCGGCAUGCCUUACACAUGCAAGUCGAACGGUAACAGGCCGCAAGGUGCUGACGAGUGGCGAACGGGUGAGUAAUACAUCGGAACGUGCCCGAUCGUGGGGGAUAACGGAGCGAAAGCUUUGCUAAUACCGCAUACGAUCUACGGAUGAAAGCAGGGGACCGCAAGGCCUUGCGCGGACGGAGCGGCCGAUGGCAGAUUAGGUAGUUGGUGGGAUAAAAGCUUACCAAGCCGACGAUCUGUAGCUGGUCUGAGAGGACGACCAGCCACACUGGGACUGAGACACGGCCCAGACUCCUACGGGAGGCAGCAGUGGGGAAUUUUGGACAAUGGGCGAAAGCCUGAUCCAGCCAUGCCGCGUGCAGGAUGAAGGCCUUCGGGUUGUAAACUGCUUUUGUACGGAACGAAAAGACUCUGGUUAAUACCUGGGGUCCAUGACGGUACCGUAAGAAUAAGCACCGGCUAACUACGUG
rnacentral:rRNA from 1 species